rnacentral:rRNA from 1 species
UACGGGGGGGGCAAGCGUUGUUCGGAAUUACUGGGCGUAAAGGGCUCGUAGGCGGCCAACUAAGUCGGAUGUGAAAUCCCCAAGCUUAACUUGGGAACUGCAUCCGAUACUGGAUGGCUUGAAUCCGGAAGAGGGAUGCAGAAUUCCAGGUGUAGCGGUGAAAUGCGUAGAUAUCUGGAGGAAUACCGGUGGCGAAGGCGGCAUCCUGGACCGGCAUUGACGCUGAGGAGCGAAAGCGUGGGGAGCGAACAGG